rnacentral:rRNA from 1 species
AUUGAACGCUGGCGGCAGGCCUAACACAUGCAAGUCGAGCGGAUGACGGGAGCUUGCUCCUUGAUUCAGCGGCGGACGGGUGAGUAAUGCCUAGGAAUCUGCCUGGUAGUGGGGGACAACGUUUCGAAAGGAACGCUAAUACCGCAUACGUCCUACGGGAGAAAGCAGGGGACCUUCGGGCCUUGCGCUAUCAGAUGAGCCUAGGUCGGAUUAGCUAGUUGGUGGGGUAAUGGCUCACCAAGGCGACGAUCCGUAACUGGUAUGAGAGGAUGAUCAGUCACACUGGAACUGAGACACGGUCCAGACUCCUACGGGAGGCAGCAGUGGGGAAUAUUGGACAAUGGGCGAAAGCCUGAUCCAGCCAUGCCGCGUGUGUGAAGAAGGUCUUCGGAUUGUAAAGCACUUUAAGUUGGGAGGAAGGGCAGUAAGUUAAUACCUUGCUGUUUUGACGUUACCGACAGAAUAAACACCGGCUAACUCUGUGCCAGCCGCCGCUGUAAAAC